AUGGUACUAUUGACUUUAUUACUGACGUUUUUACCAACAGAUAUCAGUCAAGUGUUGUCUGAAUUCAUGGAAAUAUUUGAGACACCCACGGCACUGCCACCUCGGUGUGCAUGUGAUUACCAUAUUCCUUUAAUGGAGGGUGCAAGGCCGGUCAACAUUCGUCCUUACAGAUACUUGCCAGAACUAAAGAGUGAAAUUGGAAAUCAAAUCAAGGAAAUGAUUAAAUCUGGUGUCAUUGAACCAAGCUCUAGUGCGUUUGCAUCACCCAUUAUUAUGGUUAAGAAGAAGGACCACGCCUGGAGGCUGUGCGUUGAUUACAGACACUUGAACCUUCUGACCUUAAAAUCCAAGUUUCCUCUGCCGGUGAUAGAUGAACUGCUCGAUGAAUUGACUGGACCCUUGGUUCUCCAAAUUGGAUCUUCGUGCUGGUUAUCAUCAGAUACGAUUGGCUCCAGGGGAGGAGUACGAGACGGUGUUCCAUACUCACAGUGGUCAUUAUCAAUUCAAUGUUAUGGCAUUCGGUCUCACAGGAGCUCCCGCAGUGUUCCAAGUUGUCAUGAAUGA
rnacentral:rRNA from 1 species